rnacentral:rRNA from 1 species
UACGUAGGGUGCAAGCGUUAAUCGGAAUUACUGGGCGUAAAGCGUGCGCAGGCGGUUGUGCAAGACAGAUGUGAAAUCCCCGGGCUUAACCUGGGAACUGCAUUUGUGACUGCACGGCUAGAGUGUGUCAGAGGGGGGUAGAAUUCCACGUGUAGCAGUGAAAUGCGUAGAUAUGUGGAGGAACACCGAUGGCGAAGGCAGCCCCCUGGGUUAACACUGACGCUCAUGCACGAAAGCGUGGGGAGCAAACAGG